rnacentral:rRNA from 1 species
UACGUAGGGGGCAAGCGUUGUCCGGAUUUAUUGGGCGUAAAGAGCGUGUAGGCGGUUUGGUAGGUCCGCUGUGAAAACUCGAGGCUCAACCUCGAGACGCCGGUGGAAACCAUCAGACUAGAGUCCGGAAGAGGAGAGCGGAAUUCCUGGUGUAGCGGUGAAAUGCGUAGAGAUCGGGAGGAACAUCAGUGGCGAAGGCGGCCAUCUGGGACAACACUGACGCUGAGGCACGAAAGCGUGGGGAGCAAACAGG